AGAAUCAACGCUGGCGGCGUGCCUAACACAUGCAAGUCGUACGCGAAAGGGGAGCAAUCCCUGAGUAGAGUGGCAAACGGGUGAGUAACACGUGGGUGACCUGCCUCAGAGUGGGGGAUAACGUCCCGAAAGGGACGCUAAUACCGCAUAACAUCCUGCCCUUGGAAGGGUGGAGAUCAAAGCCGGGGAUCGCAAGACCUGGCGCUUGGAGAGGGGCCCGCGUCUGAUUAGCUAGUUGGUAGGGUAAUGGCCUACCGAAGGCGACGAUC
rnacentral:rRNA from 1 species